rnacentral:rRNA from 1 species
GAUGAACGCUGGCGGCGUGCCUAAUACAUGCAAGUCGAGCGAACAGACGAGGAGCUUGCUCCUCUGACGUUAGCGGCGGACGGGUGAGUAACACGUGGAUAACCUACCUAUAAGACUGGGAUAACUUCGGGAAACCGGAGCUAAUACCGGAUAAUAUAUUGAACCGCAUGGUUCAAUAGUGAAAGACGGUUUUGCUGUCACUUAUAGAUGGAUCCGCGCCGCAUUAGCUAGUUGGUAAGGUAACGGCUUACCAAGGCAACGAUGCGUAGCCGACCUGAGAGGGUGAUCGGCCACACUGGAACUGAGACACGGUCCAGACUCCUACGGGAGGCAGCAGUAGGGAAUCUUCCGCAAUGGGCGAAAGCUUGACGGAGCAACGCCGCGUGAGUGAUGAAGGUCUUCGGAUCGUAAAACUCUGUUAUUAGGUAAGAACAAAUGUGUAAGUAACUAUGCACGUCUUGACGGUACCUAAUCAGAAAGCCACGGCUAACUACGUG